rnacentral:lncRNA from 13 species
AACAUAAUUCUUUAUCUUUCCAGCUGCUGCUGUGAUGGACACUUGCUCCCAUCUACCUUCUUCUUUAUUAUCCACUGCCCUGAAAUGAGUGAUAUUUCUUAGAACCAGAGGUGGAGCCACCGAGGAAGCACAGGGGAGCCCUCCCCAACACGUGCUCACUGUUCCCAACAGAAGAACUGCUGCUGCAUCCACUGAGCUGAAAAUGUAGAAGCAGGUUCAGAAGUGGAUGAAAGAGGUUGCGAGAGUUGGGAAAUCUUUAAAGACAGCAAGAUGAGGAAAUAUUUGGACCACUGUAGAGAAUUUUUAAAUACUUGCUGACAGAAGAUAGACACCGAAGGCAAGACUUAAAAGGUCUUAGAUUAAAAUGAGGAAUUUCCUGUGAACAGGAGCCAAGGAUACAAUUGAUUGGCCUUAGCAACAACGUGGCUGCACAAUGAC